rnacentral:rRNA from 1 species
AGUGAACGCUGGCGGUAGGCCUAACACAUGCAAGUCGAACGGCAGCACAGUAAGAGCUUGCUCUUACGGGUGACGAGUGGCGGACGGGUGAGGAAUACAUCGGAAUCUACUUUUUCGUGGGGGAUAACGUAGGGAAACUUACGCUAAUACCGCAUACGACCUACGGGUGAAAGCAGGGGAUCUUCGGACCUUGCGCGAUUGAAUGAGCCGAUGUCGGAUUAGCUAGUUGGCGGAGUAAAGGCCCACCAAGGCGACGAUCCGUAGCUGGUCUGAGAGGAUGAUCAGCCACACUGGAACUGAGACACGGUCCAGACUCCUACGGGAGGCAGCAGUGGGGAAUAUUGGACAAUGGGCGCAAGCCUGAUCCAGCCAUACCGCGUGGGUGAAGAAGGCCUUCGGGUUGUAAAGCCCUUUUGUUGGGAAAGAAAAGCAGCAGGUUAAUACCCCGCUGUUCUGACGGUACCCAAAGAAUAAGCACCGGCUAACUUCGUG